CUAUACUGCAAGUCGAACGAAACUUUCUUACACCGAAUGCUUGCAUUCACCGUAAGAAGUUGAGUGGCGGACGGGUGAGUAACACGUGGGUAACCUGCCUAAAAGAAGGGGAUAACACUUGGAAACAGGUGCUAAUACCGUAUAUCUCUAAGGAUCGCAUGAUCCUUAGAUGAAAGAUGGUUCUGCUAUCGCUUUUAGAUGGACCCGCGGCGUAUUAACUAGUUGGUGGGGUAACGGCCUACCAAGGUGAUGAUACGUAGCCGAACUGAGAGGUUGAUCGGCCACAUUGGGACUGAGACACGGCCCAAACUCCUACGGGAGGCAGCAGUAGGGAAUCUUCCACAAUGGACGCAAGUCUGAUGGAGCAACGCCGCGUGAGUGAAGAAGGUCUUCGGAUCGUAAAACUCUGUUGUUAGAGAAGAACACGAGUGAGAGUAACUGUUCAUUCGAUGACGGUAUCUAACCAGCAAGUCACGGCUAACUACGUGCCAGCAGCCGCGGUAAUACGUAGGUGGCAAGCGUUGUCCGGAUUUAUUGGGCGUAAAGGGAACGCAGGCGGUCUUUUAAGUCUGAUGUGAAAGCCUUCGGCUUAACCGGAGUAGUGCAUUGGAAACUGGAAGACUUGAGUGCAGAAGAGGAGAGUGGAACUCCAUGUGUAGCGGUGAAAUGCGUAGAUAUAUGGAAGAACACCAGUGGCGAAAGCGGCUCUCUGAUCUGAUACUGACGCUGAAGCUCCAAAGCGUGGGUAGCAAACAGGAUUAGAUACCCUGGUAGUCCACGCCGUAAACGAUGAAUGCUAGGUGUUGGAGGGUUUCCGCCCUUCAGUGCCGCAGCUAACGCAAUAAG
rnacentral:rRNA from 2 species